CGACCGGCGCACGGGUGAGUAACGCGUAUGCAACCUACCUACAACAGGGGAAUAGCCCGGAGAAAUUCGGAUUAAUACCGCAUAAAACAGGGGCUCCGCAUGGAGAUAUUUGUUAAAGAUUAUCGGUUGUAGAUGGGCAUGCGUUCCAUUAGCUGGUUGGUAAGGUAACGGCUUACCAAGGCAACGAUGGAUAGGGGAACUGAGAGGUUUAUCCCCCACACUGGUACUGAGACACGGACCAG
rnacentral:rRNA from 1 species